rnacentral:rRNA from 1 species
UCCAGACUCCUACGGGAGGCAGCAGUGGGGGAUAUUGCACAAUGGGGGGAACCCUGAUGCAGCGACGCCGCGUGGGUGAAGGAGCGUUUCGGCGCGUAAAGCCCUGUCAGCAGGGAAGAACAAAGACAGUACCUGACCAAGAAGCCCCGGCUAACUACGUGCCAGCAGCCGCGGUAAUACGUAGGGGGCAAGCGUUAUCCGGAUUCACUGGGCGUAAAGGGAGCGCAGGCGGCACGGCAAGUCUGGUGUGAAAGCCCGGGGCCCAACCCCGGGACUGCAUUGGAAACUGCCGGGCUGGAGUGCCGGAGAGGCAGGCGGAAUCCCUAGUGUAGCGGCGAAAUGCGUAGAUAUUAGGAGGAACACCGGUGGCGAAGGCGGCCUGCUGGACGAUGACUGACGCUGAGGCUCGAAAGCGUGGGGAGCAAACAGGAUUAGAUACCCGUGUA